rnacentral:rRNA from 1 species
UACGGGGGGGGCAAGCGUUGUUCGGAAUUACUGGGCGUAAAGGGCUCGUAGGUGGCUAACUAAGUCAGACGUGAAAUCCCUCGGCUUAACCGGGGAACUGCGUCUGAUACUGGAUGGCUUGAGUUCGGGAGAGGGAUGCGGAAUUCCAGGUGUAGCGGUGAAAUGCGUAGAUAGUCCGGAGGAACACCGGUGGCGAAGGCGGCUUCCUGGACCGACACUGACGCUGAGGCGCGAAAGCUAGGGGAGCAAACGGG